rnacentral:ribozyme from 1 species
UGCCCAGCAACUCCUAUCCCUACCUCCUCGUGGUACUGGCCGGGGUACGAGUAACCUUAGGGAAGAUCUGGUAACCAACCCCGGUGGGAACUUUGGUCGUAUGCUGACAGGGAAGG